rnacentral:rRNA from 1 species
UACGGAGGGGGCAAGCGUUGCUCGGAAUUACUGGGCGUAAAGCGAGCGUAGGCGGUUAGUCAAGUUGGUGGUGAAAGCCCAGAGCUCAACUCUGGAACUGCCAUCAAAACUGACUUACUAGAGAUUGGUAGAGGGAAAUGGAAUUCCUAGUGUAGAGGUGAAAUUCGUAGAUAUUGGGAAGAACAUCGGUGGCGAAGGCGAUUUCCUGGGCCAAUUCUGACGCUGAGGUUCGAAAGCGUGGGUAGCAAAC